rnacentral:tRNA from 1 species
AGAGGAAUGCCUGAAAAAAGGGUCAUCUUGAUAGGAUGGAUUAUGUGCGCGGACCACCUCCUCUC